rnacentral:rRNA from 1 species
AAUGAACGCUGGCGGCGUGCUUAACACAUGCAAGUCGAACGAUGAAGAUACUGCUUGCAGUAUCGGAUUAGUGGCGCACGGGUGAGUAAUAUAUAGAUAAUGUGCCUCUUAGUCUGGGAUAGCCAUUGGAAACGAUGAUUAAUACUAGAUACUCCUUCUAAUCAAAAGAUUAGUCGGGAAAGUUUUUCGCUAAGAGAUCGGUCUAUAUCCCAUCAGUUAGUUGGUAAGGUAACGGCUUACCAAGACAAUGACGGGUAGCGGGUUUGAGAGGAUGAUCCGCCACACUGGUACUGAGACACGGACCAGACUCCUACGGGAGGCAGCAGUGAGGAAUAUUGCACAAUGGGGGAAACCCUGAUGCAGCAACGCCGCGUGGAGGAUGACGCAUUUCGGUGUGUAAACUCCUUUUAUAUGUCAAGAAAAUGACGGUAGCAUAUGAAUAAGCACCGGCUAACUCCGUGCCAGCAGCCGCGGUAAUACGGAGGGUGCAAGCGUUAUUCGGAAUCACUGGGCGUAAAGGACACGUAGGCGGAUUGGAAAGUCAGAUGUGAAAUCCUACAGCUUAACUGUAGAACUGCAUUUGAAACUUCUAAUCUAGAGUAUGGGAGGGGGAGAUGGAAUUAGUGGUGUAGGGGUAAAAUCCGUAGAUAUCACUAGGAAUACCUAAAGCGAAGGCGAUCUCCUGGAACAUAACUGACGCUAAGGUGUGAAAGCGUGGGGAGCAAACGGGAUUAGAUACCCCGGUAGUCCACGCCCUAAACGAUGAACACUAGUCGUCGGAAUGCUAGUCAUUUCGGUGAUGCACUUAACAGAUUAAGUGUUCCGCCUGGGGAGUACGGUCGCAAGAUUAAAACUCAAAGGAAUAGACGG